CAAUAGCGUAUAUUAAAGUUGUUGCAGUUAAAAAGCUCGUAGUUGGAUUUCGGGGUGGCCUGGCUGGUCCGCCGCAAGGUGAGUACUGGUCAGCCGCCCUUCCUCUCGAAAGCCCCGACUGCUCUUUACUGCAGUGGUCGGGUAGUUCGGGACGUUUACUUUGAAAAAAUUAGAGUGUUCAAGGCAGGCUAUCGCCUGAAUACAUUAGCAUGGAAUAAUGGAAGAGGACCUCGGUCCUAUUUUGUUGGUUUCUAGGGCCGAAGUAAUGAUUAAGAGGGACAGUUGGGGGCAUUCGUAGUUAAUUGUCAGAGGUGAAAUUCUUGGAUUUAUGAAAGACGAACUAGUGCGAAAGCAUUUGCCAAGGAUGUUUUCAUUAA
rnacentral:rRNA from 1 species